rnacentral:rRNA from 1 species
AUUGAACGCUGGCGGCAUGCUUUACACAUGCAAGUCGAACGGUAACAGGCCGCAAGGUGCUGACGAGUGGUGAACGGGGGAGUAAUGCAUCGGAACGUGCCCAGUCGUGGGGGAUAACUACUCGAAAGAGUAGCUAAUACCGCAUACGAUCUAUGGAUGAAAGCGGGGGAACGUAAGGCCUCGCGCGAUUGGAGCGGCCGAUGUCAGAUUAGGUAGUUGGUGGGGUAAAGGCUCACCAAGCCAACGAUCUGUAGCUGGUCUGAGAGGACGACCAGCCACACUGGAACUGAGACACGGCCCAGACUCCUACGGGAGGCAGCAGUGGGGAAUUUUGGACAAUGGGCGCAAGCCUGAUCCAGCAAUGCCGCGUGCAGGAAGAAGGCCUUCGGGUUGUAAACUGCUUUUGUACGGAACGAAACGGCUCUGGUUAAUACCCGGGGCUAAUGACGGUACCGUAAGAAUAAGCACCGGCUAACUACGUG